AGAGUUUGAUCCUGGCUCAGGAUGAACGCUGGCGGCGUGCUUAACACAUGCAAGUCGAACGAAGCAUUUUACCGGAACAUUUUCGGAUGGGAAGUUAAAAUGACUGAGUGGCGGACGGGUGAGUAACGCGUGGAUAACCUACCAUAUACAGGGGGACAACAGUUGGAAACGACUGCUAAUACCGCAUAAGCGCACAGUGCCGCAUGGCACGGUGUGAAAAACUCCGGUGGUAUAUGAUGGAUCCGCGUCUGAUUAGCUAGUUGGUGAGGUAAUGGCCCACCAAGGCAACGAUCAGUAGCCGACCUGAGAGGGUGACCGGCCACAUUGGGACUGAGACACGGCCCAAACUCCUACGGGAGGCAGCAGUGGGGAAUAUUGCACAAUGGGCGAAAGCCUGAUGCAGCGACGCCGCGUGAGCGAAGAAGUAUUUCGGUAUGUAAAGCUCUAUCAGCAGGGAAGAAAAUGACGGUACCUGACUAAGAAGCCCCGGCUAACUACGUGCCAGCAGCCGCGGUAAU
rnacentral:rRNA from 1 species